rnacentral:rRNA from 1 species
GAGCACGUAGGUGGGUUUGUAAGUCAGAUGUGAAAGCCUUCUGUUCAACGGAAGAAUUGCAUCUGAAACUGCGAGUCUUGAGUGUAGGAGGGGAGAAUGGAACUUCUGGUGGAGCGGUGAAAUGCGUAGAUAUCAGAAGGAACGCCGGCGGCGAAAGCGAUUCUCUGGCCUAUUACUGACACUCAGUGUGCGAAAGCUAGGGGAGCAAACGGGAUUAGAUACCCCGGUAGUCCUAGCCGUAAACGAUGGGCACUAAGUAGAGGGAAUUACCGAUAUUCUCUCUGCCGUAGCUAACGCAUUAAGUGCCCCACCUGGGGAGUACGGCCGCAAGGCUAAAACUCAAAAGAAUUGACGGGGGCUCGCACAAGCGGUGGAGCAUGAGGCUUAAUUCGAUGCAACGCGAAAAACCUUACCGGGGCUUGACAUGGUAGAAGUAGGAACCCGAAAGGGUAACGAACGGUAUCCAGUCCGUAACUAUUACAGGUGUUGCAUGGCUGUCGUCAGCUCGUGUCGUGAGACGUUGGGUUAAGUCCCCUAACGAGCGAAACCCUUGUUUUUAGUUGCCAGCGGGUUAUGCCGGGCACUCUAGAAAGACUGCCGUCGUCAAGACGGAGGAAGGUGGGGACGACGUCAAGUCAUCAUGGCCCUUAUGCCCCGGGCUGCACACGUGCUACAAUGGCCGGUACAAACGGAAGCGAAGCCGAGAGGUGAAGCGAAUCC